rnacentral:rRNA from 1 species
UGCCAGCAGCCGCGGUAAUACGUAGGGGGCAAGCGUUGUCCGGAAUUACUGGGCGUAAAGGGCGUGUAGGUGGGAGAUUAAGUCAUGGGUGUAAACUGCGGGCUCAACCCGGAGAUUGCCUAUGAAACUGGUCUUCUUGAGGGCAGGAGAGGAAAGUGGAAUUCCUAGUGUAGCGGUGAAAUGCGUAGAUAUUAGGAGGAACACCAGUGGCGAAGGCGACUUUCUGGACUGACCCUGACACUGAGGCGCGAAAGCUAGGGGAGCGAACGGGAUUAGAUACCCCGGUAGUCCUAGCCGUAAACGAUGGGUACUAGGUGUGGGAGGUAUCGACCCCUUCCGUGCCGCAGUUAACGCAAUAAGUACCCCGCCUGGGGAGUACGGCCGCAAGGUUGAAACUCAAAGGAAUUGACGGGGGCCCGCACA